rnacentral:rRNA from 1 species
AUGAACGCUGGCGGCGUGCCUAAUACAUGCAAGUCGCGCGAACAGACGAGGAGCUUGCUCCUCUGACGUUAGCGGCGGACGGGUGAGUAACACGUGGAUAACCUACCUAUAAGACUGGGAUAACUUCGGGAAACCGGAGCUAAUACCGGAUAACAUGUUGAACCGCAUGGUUCAACAGUGAAAGACGGUCUUGCUGUCACUUAUAGAUGGAUCCGCGCCGCAUUAGCUAGUUGGUAAGGUAACGGCUUACCAAGGCAACGAUGCGUAGCCGACCUGAGAGGGUGAUCGGCCACACUGGAACUGAGACACGGUCCAGACUCCUACGGGAGGCAGCAGUAGGGAAUCUUCCGCAAUGGGCGAAAGCCUGACGGAGCAACGCCGCGUGAGUGAAGAAGGUCUUCGGAUCGUAAAACUCUGUUAUUAGGGAAGAACAAAUGUGUAAGUAACUAUGCACGUCUUGACGGUACCUAAUCAGAAAGCCACGGCUAACUACGUG